rnacentral:lncRNA from 1 species
GCUGAGAAAAAUUAAAAAACUGCUGAUAAGUUUGUUGUUUUUAACUUUUUGCGUUUCUAAUAACAUGCUUAAAUAGAAAACUUAACCUAAUAUUUCAAACAAAUCAAAAGUGUGUUAAUUUGAUAAAACAUUUCAUUGUAGUACUUUGGAUGGGUGUCUAUUAUAUUUUAUUUUUAAAUAAUAAGAUUGAUAAAAAUAAUUGUUUCAGCGGUUUUUACCAUCUGAGUUUGGUAUGGAUCCACCACGUAUGGGACAUGCUUUACCACCAGGACGAGAAACGUUCGACCAAAAAAUGGAAGUGCGUCAUGCUAUUGAAGCUGCCGGAAUACCUUACACUUACGUUGUUGGCGCUUGCUUCGCCGCAUAUUUUGCCGGAAACUUAUCUCAGAUGGAAACUUUACUCCCUCCAAAGAAAAAAGCUAAUAUAUAUGGAGACGGAAACGUAAAAGGUAAAAAUCAUUACUACCUCCAAAGAAAAACUUUACUCUUCUAAGUGUGGUCAUUAAUUAGUUCUUAGAUUUGAAUGAUUAACCUCAUAAGUUUCUAAAGCAAUCAAUCUUUAAUGGUGUUAUCUUCGUAGUGGUGUUCGCUGUUUCAGUCGUCUCAGAAAACAGAUUUCAAAGUCAAUUGCAAAAAUAACCUCUGCGUUGACCAGACGACUUCCAGGUAAGUCAUCUACAACCAGACGACUUACCUGUAAGCCGUCUGGACGAACAGAUCUGGAAAAAAAAACUCGAUUUCAUACCUUAAAUUGGUGAAAUAACUUCCUUAGCACACAUAAGGCUUCUCCAAGAACACAUAAUCUCAAACGAAAGUGACCCACCCAGAAUCGUUAACUUCUUUGACUCUAUAAACCAUAAAAAAUGUAGAAUCAAAAUCUUGGUUUUUUUUAGCUGAAUGUGGAGAGAAAGUGAUAGAGAUGUUGUGUUUAGUUCAUAAGAAUGGAGAAAGAAGAAGAGUAAAUUGAUUUUGGGAGCAUUAAGAGUUUCAAAUUGGUUGUUCAUGGUGGUUAGGAUAUUGAUGACAAUGGCAAUCUUGUAAUUACUUGAAAAUGAUGAGGAUGAGAGAGUAAAAAUGUCAUUUUCGAAAAAAAAAAUAAAAAAAAUUGAUGGCAUUUUCGUGAAUUAUAUGAACUUGUGAGGUGAAAAGGGUAAAACUAAUUUCUAAAAAAAAGGAAGUUAGUUUUGUGUUUGACUUUGAGUUGUAUGUCAAUUUUGCAAAAAGCCCAGAAAAAUAUAUCAAUAUUUUUCCGCUAAAGAUUAUAAAGCUUAAAAAUUUAUAUUUUCAAAUGAAUUGCUUUAAGACACUACAAAACUGCUGUCUUACAAAAACCACUACAUAUAACUAGGAUACAUACAAUGUCAAAUACAUUUUGAACAUAAACAAAUUUCAGUGCUUUUAUGUAACCACAAUGAAUGUUUAUAAUCCAAUGAUAAGCUUUUUCACAUCACAUUAUAUCUCAAGUAUCAUAUAUAAAUACGUAUAUAUAAGUUAUAUUUUUAAUUUUAUAACCGAAAUCCACACUAUAUGUUACUAACUGUGUAUAACAUAACAUUAAUUCAUUCAUAAGAUGCAAACUGUAUGUUUCUUUAACAUAACAUUAAUUCGUUAAAAACAUAUCUCUCCUAAACAAAUCGUAUGUUUCGUUUACAUAUCAUUCAUUAAAAAAAUAUUCAGCUGAAAAGUAUUAAUUUAUUUUAUAGGCGUCAUAUACCCUCAAUAACUUUACUUACAAUGCAUACAAUAAUCCAUUAGAUGUACAUACAUAUAUCUAUAUAUACACAUAUAUAUGUUUCGACCCAUAUAUAUAUACAGAAGCGAGCGAGAGACUUCUACCAAACACAAAAAUCAAGAAAAACGAAAUGGGAGGGAUCAAAAGCGGCGAGAAAACGCGCGUUUUGGUGGUGGGAGCGACGGGUUACUUAGGGAAGAGAAUCGUGAGGGCGUGUUUGGCUGAAGGUCACGAAACUUAUGUUUUGCAGCGGCCAGAGAUUGGUCUAGACAUCGAGAAAGUCCAACUCCUUUUCUCAUUCAAGAAACUAGGUGCUCGUCUCGUCGAGGCUUCUUUCUCCGACCACCAAAGCCUCGUAUCAGCCGUGAAACUCGUAGACGUCGUUGUCUCCGCCAUGUCGGGCGUUCACUUCCGUAGCCAUAACAUCCUUGUCCAGCUUAAGCUCGUUGAAGCCAUCAUAGAGGCUGGUAAUGUCAAGGUGAGAUUAAGAUUGGUGGGCUGAGAAAAAUUAAAAAACUGCUGAUAAGUUUGUUGUUUUUAACUUUUUGCGUUUCUAAUAACAUGCUUAAAUAGAAAACUUAACCUAAUAUUUCAAACAAAUCAAAAGUGUGUUAAUUUGAUAAAACAUUUCAUUGUAGUACUUUGGAUGGGUGUCUAUUAUAUUUUAUUUUUAAAUAAUAAGAUUGAUAAAAAUAAUUGUUUCAGCGGUUUUUACCAUCUGAGUUUGGUAUGGAUCCACCACGUAUGGGACAUGCUUUACCACCAGGACGAGAAACGUUCGACCAAAAAAUGGAAGUGCGUCAUGCUAUUGAAGCUGCCGGAAUACCUUACACUUACGUUGUUGGCGCUUGCUUCGCCGCAUAUUUUGCCGGAAACUUAUCUCAGAUGGAAACUUUACUCCCUCCAAAGAAAAAAGCUAAUAUAUAUGGAGACGGAAACGUAAAAG